rfam:Camelus ferus unplaced genomic scaffold scaffold1216, whole genome shotgun sequence.
GAGAGUAUAGCUCAAGUGGUAGAGUGCAUGCUUAGCAUGCAUGAGGUCCUGGGUUCAAUCCCCAGUACCUCCU